rnacentral:tRNA from 1 species
AGCGUCAAUAGCGAACGAUUAGAAGCAUGCCGAUUUUAUGACUCAUAAUCGCUUGGUCGCUGGUUCAAGUCCAGCAGGGGCCACCA